rnacentral:rRNA from 1 species
GACAGAGGGUGCAAACGUUGUUCGGAAUUACUGGGCGUAAAGCGCGUGUAGGCGGCUGCGUGUGUCGGGCGUGAAAUCCCAUGGCUCAACCAUGGAAGUGCACCCGAAACUGCGUAGCUAGAGUCCUGGAGAGGAAGGUGGAAUGCUUGGUGUAGAGGUGAAAUUCGUAGAUAUCAAGCGGAACACCGGUGGCGAAGGCGGCCUUCUGGACAGUGACUGACGCUGAGACGCGAAAGCGUGGGGAGCAAACAGG